UACGUAGGCAGCAAGCGUUGUUCGGAGUUACUGGGCGUAAAGGGUGCGUAGGCGGUUGUUUAAGUUUGGUGUGAAAUCUCCCAGCUCAACCGGGAGGGUGCGCCGAAUACUGAAUGACUAGAGUGCGGGAGAGGAGAGUGGAAUUCCUGGUGUAGCGGUGAAAUGCGUAGAUAUCAGGAGGAACAUCGGUGGUGUAGACGGCUCUCUGGACCGUAACUGACGCUGAGGAGCGAAAGCGUGGGGAGCAAACAGG
rnacentral:rRNA from 1 species